UUCAAGUCUUUUCAUCUUAUUGAUAUUUAUUAUUAACUGAUAAUCAUCAAUUAAUUACUUAAUCCUGCUAGGAAAAUAUCACCAUGAAAAUCAUGAUUGAUUGUUUACUCUCAUGUGAUAAUAUCUCUGCCCUAUUCCAAUGGUCAUUCAUAGACAGAGUCAAAGUUUUCAAAGGGUCAAUCUAAAGUCAAAUAUAAUUGUAAACACAAUGUGAUUACAAAUCUUUUAUCAUUACAAUCAAAAUGUGACACUGAUUAUAUUUGAUUUACUGGUGAUGAUUAAAAACAAAUGAGAUUACAAUUUACUAAAUUGUUGAAGGUUAAAUUGAAAGUUAUCAUGUCCUUUGAUUAACCUGUUGGUGAUACAAUCUGUCCCCUGGUCAUUUGAUUGUUAUUCAAAAGUUAUAACCAAUUGAUGAUCAAGUUGACAAUUUAAAUUGUUGUUAGAUUAUUAUUACAAGUUGUUGAAAAACAAUCAACAAAACGAUUGAUUCAAUUGAUCAACUUUUCCCUGUUUACUUUUCUAAUUGUUUUAUACUUUUUUUCCGAUUCCUGAAGUAAUUUCAACUUGAUUAAUUAAAUUAAUUCUCAAUAAUUGUGCUUAAUUUUUAAAUUGUUUCGCCGCCAUUUCAACUCGAUCAUGUUAUUUUUAUUCUCAUGCUUACAUAUUAAUACUUUCCAACCAACUGAUUGUUUGAUCAUUUUUAAUCAAAUUAAAUGGACCAAAAAUACUUCCAUUGAUUUUUCAAUAGAUGACAAAAUGUCGAUUCAGUUGACUUAUCAUGAUGAUGAUAACACACCCACUCCACAUCCCCAACCUUGUCUGUCUGAACAAUAAUAAUGAACUUUUCCUCAUAAACGAAAAUGGUUACAUCAAUAAUGGUCUGAUAUUGAAUGUCUACAUAUCAAUUAUUAAUUGAUUCCAAUGUAUAUCAAUAACUUUCAUGAUGAUCACUGAUUAUGUUAUAUGAAAAAACAAACUAUUCAAUUGAAAACAAUUAGUUUUAUCCAGUAGAUUAUUGUUUUUAAUAAUAUUAUUUAUCGUGCAUCUAUUGUUGAUUUUCAUGAUUAUCCUUUU